GACGAACGCUGGCGGCGUGCUUAACACAUGCAAGUCGAACGCUGAAGGCCCAGCUUGCUGGGUUGGAUGAGUGGCGAACGGGUGAGUAACACGUGAGUAACCUGCCCUCUUCUUUGGGAUAACGGUCGGAAACGGCUGCUAAUACCGGGUAUUCACUGUCCUUCGCAUGGGGGGUGGUGGAAAGGUUUUUUCUGGUGGGGGAUGGGCUCGCGGCCCAUCAGCUUGUUGGUGGGGUGAUGGCUUCCCAAGGCUUUGCCGGGUGACCGGCCUGAGAAUGUCACCGGUUUUUUGGCACUGAGUUACGCCUACCACUCCCACUGUUUGGAUUUGUGUGGAAAUAUUUUUUAAUGCCUGAAGGCCCCAUCUACCACGCCCCUGGGCUGAAGGAGGGCUUCCGUUUUUGAACGUCAUUUUAAAGGGUCACUCCGCAGGAGCGGUGGCGGUGGGGUGACCCAUAGAGAGGCCGGCUUUCCCGCUGGGCCGCGGUUCUACUUUUUAUUUGCGAACUUUGAGCUGAAUCGGGGGGGCUACUGGCUCUAACUCUCCUCAUCCCCCCAUACCUCAAAAAACUUCGGGAGAAAAGGAGGGGAUACUAGUGUUUUUUCCGUGGUUGUAUAAGAGAGAGAAGAGAGAAUGAUGAGUCUAGUGUUUUCUUCUCUCUUGAUCUACCACCCACACA
rnacentral:rRNA from 1 species